rnacentral:rRNA from 1 species
AUUGAACGCUGGCGGCAUGCUUUACACAUGCAAGUCGAACGGUAACAGGGUGCUUGCACCGCUGACGAGUGGCGAACGGGUGAGUAAUGCGUCGGAACGUGCCGAGUAGUGGGGGAUAACGCAGCGAAAGUUGUGCUAAUACCGCAUACGUACUGAGGUAGAAAGUGGGGGACCUUCGGGCAUCACGCUAUUCGAGCGGCCGACGUCUGAUUAGCUAGUAGGUGAGGUAAAGGCUCACCUAGGCGACGAUCAGUAGCGGGUCUGAGAGGAUGAUCCGCCACACUGGGACUGAGACACGGCCCAGACUCCUACGGGAGGCAGCAGCGGGGAAUUUUGGACAAUGGGCGAAAGCCUGAUCCAGCCAUGCCGCGUGUCUGAAGAAGGCCUUCGGGUUGUAAAGGACUUUUGUCAGGGAGGAAAUCCCUAGUGCUAAUAACACUGGGGGAUGACAGUACCUGAAGAAUAAGCACCGGCUAACUACGUGCCAGCAGCCGCCGUAA